CUGCCAAGCUCUGCCGGCUCCCCGAGCUUCACAACAGUGGAGCCUUGGGACCCAAGUCUGCUCAGCCUCCAUAAAUGUGACCCCAGCCCAGGUCACCAGGAUCAUCUAUAGGACCCACGACUCAAUGGCUACCAACACCCUCUUCCCACGAUGCCUCUUAAUACUAAUAACGUAUGGACUCCUACAAGGGAAAUAAGUGUCACAACUUUGGUUGAACUUGGUCUGUCUCAGAUUUACCUGACAUCACCACUCACAGUUCCUGAAGAGCCCAGAGAUUUCUCCUGAAGGAAAGGUUCUGAAAGAUUCAGAGGGAUAAAUAAAGAAUGCAGAUGAUUCCUAUCUCGUGCUGAUGCCUAGAGGGU